ensembl:lncRNA
CUGGCAAACACUGCCAGUAUUAGUACAUUACACCACCACAGAGAAAGACCCCCCUCUCUCGCUCCCCUCCUGCCUGCUUCCUUCACUGGGAAUAACCUUUUGCAGGUUCGGGGGGCCCCUGCUGGACUGUUCCCCUUGGACAUGAUGCUUCCUGUAUGACCUGUAUGGGAUCACACAGUUUAUUUUCUAUCACAUUCUGCUGCUCAUCGUAUCCAACUCUUUGCCACCCCAUGAACUGUAGCCCAUCAGGCUCCUCUGUCCAUGGGAUUUUUCAGGCAAGAAUACUGGAGGGGGUUGAUAUUUCCUCCUCCAGGGAAUCUUCCUGACCCAGACCCAUCCACUCAUCCAUUAGAAAGUAUUCGAAGUGAGCUCACAGAGGAAAGGCGAGGGCUGGGCCCCCAGGCCUUCAGAUGCUCACAGAACUCCCUUCUGAGCCGGAAGCUGGUGCUGCCUGACCCUACAGAGGAGGAAACCGAGGCACGAGCUGGGCUGGCCUUGGGGAGGCCCUGUGUUGCUCUGCCAGGAGGCCUCCAGUUCCAGGUGAUGUUUUUCCCUUUACUCUCAAUUCUCCCUUAAUUUCAAGGAUGAUGAUAAGAAUAUUCAUGGUGGUUGACAUUUUGAGGGCUUUCUUUGUGCCGGGCACCAACAGCUCUUUCCUAGGGCCAGGUACUGAAAUGAGACUCUUGUUAGAGCUGGCUGAGGGCGUUGGAGUCAGAAGGGUCCACUGUGUUGUCUGGACUCUGAGACUUGCUUACCUGCCCGGACGGGAAGCUCUCUCCUUCCCCUCCCUGUGCCGGCUGUCCUCUCUCCGGGAGGCGUGGAUUACCG